rnacentral:rRNA from 1 species
UACGUAGGGGGCAAGCGUUGUCCGGAUUUAUUGGGCGUAAAGAGCGUGUAGGCGGUCCGGUAAGUCCGCUGUGAAAGUCGGGGGCUCAACCCUCGAAUGCCGGUGGAUACUGUCGGGCUAGAGUGCGGAAGAGGCGAGUGGAACUCCUGGUGUAGCGGUGGAAUGCGCAGAUAUCAGGAAGAACACCAACGGCGAAGGCAGCUCGCUAGGACGGUACUGACGCUGGAGACGCGAAAGCGUGGGGAGCGAACAGG